AAUGAAGAUACUAAUACAGUCUACUUCCUGGAAUCGUUGUGAUAAUUGAGAUAGAAUAUUUGUAAAGCACUUUGAAAACCUGAAAGGGUCGUACAAAUGAAAGCCAUUAUUAUCAUUAUCAACAUUAUUAUUCCUGUUUGUUAUAUGCUUAUCGCUACUGUGACCUGUUCCAUAGAAAACCAUGUGAUGCUCUUGAGAUGACAAGGGUGCAACUGAGGGUAUUCUCUCAUUAUAAAAUGAUUUGUGUUACUGGAAUUUAUUGCUUAAAUUCAUGUGAUAACCAAUAUUGAUACUGAGACUUUUGGUAUCGAAUCCUAGGAUGGUGUCUGAAAAGAAAAUUCUGCCAGUAAAACGCUGUUGAUUGAAUGACAGAACACUUGAGCGAUCGCGGGAUGAUCUCUGAAAACAUCAACUCACCCAGCACAUGCUGCUCCUUAUUGCAUCAUAGAACACUUGUGAUGUUAUUAUUCUAUCACCAAGACAAUUUGGAAAGAGGAAUGAUGACCAAUGGAAUGAAUCAUGAGAAAGAAGAAAGAAAACCAAAAGUAACAAAAAGUAAUGAGAAAAAAGGAUGGUGUCUGAAAAGAAAAUUCUGCCAGUAAAAAGCUGUUGAUUGAAUGACAGAACACUUGAGCGAUCGCGGGAUGAUCUCUGAAAACAUCAACUCACCCAGUACAUGCUGCUCCUUAUUGCAUCAUAGAACACUUGUGAUGUUAUUAUUCUAUCACCAAGACAAUUUGGAAAGAGGAAUGAUGACCAAUGGAAUGAAUCAUGAGAAAGAAGAAAGAAAACCAAAAGUAACAAAAAGUAAUGAGAAAAAAGGAUGGUGUCUGAAAAGAAAAUUCGGCCAGUAAAAAGCUGCUGAUUGAAUGACAGAACACUUGAGGAAUUGCGGGAUGAUCUCUGAAAAAAUCACCUCACCCAGUAAAAGCUGCUCCUUAUUGCAUCAUAGAACACUUGUGAUGUUACUAUUCUAUCGCCAAGGUAACGAACAUGGGCAGAGGGU